rnacentral:rRNA from 1 species
CGGAGGGAUCAUUACAAGAACGCCCGGGCUUCGGCCUGGUUAUUCAUAACCCUUUGUUGUCCGACUCUGUUGCCUCCGGGGCGACCCUGCCUUCGGGCGGGGGCUCCGGGUGGACACUUCAAACUCUUGCGUAACUUUGCAGUCUGAGUAAACUUAAUUAAUAAAUUAAAACUUUUAACAACGGAUCUCUUGGUUCUGGCAUCGAUGAAGAACGCAGCGAAAUGCGAUAAGUAAUGUGAAUUGCAGAAUUCAGUGAAUCAUCGAAUCUUUGAACGCACAUUGCGCCCCCUGGUAUUCCGGGGGGCAUGCCUGUUCGAGCGUCAUUUCACCACUCAAGCCUCGCUUGGUAUUGGGCAACGCGGUCCGCCGCGUGCCUCAAAUCGUCCGGCUGGGUCUUCUGUCCCCUAAGCGUUGUGGAAACUAUUCGCUAAAGGGUGUUCGGGAGGCUACGCCGUAAAACAACCCCAUUUCUAAGGUUGACCUCGGAUCAGGUAGGGAUACCCGCUGAACUUAAGCAUAUCAAUAAGCGGAGGA